rnacentral:rRNA from 1 species
CCCUUAGAUGUUCUGGGCCGCACGCGUGCUACACUGAGUGGAUCAGCGGGUCAGGUUGCGCGAAAGCGUUUCCUAAUCUUUAAAUCCGCUCGUGAUGGGGAUUGACGGUUGCAAUUUUCUGUCAUGAACGAGGAAUACCUUGUAAGCGCGGGUCGUCAUCCCGCGCUGAAUACGUCCCUGCCCUUUGUACACACCGCCCGUCGCUCCUACCGAUUGAGUGAGCCGAUGAAACUGCCGGAUGUGGACUAUUCAUAGUCUGCAGAAGAUAUUUGAAUCGUAGCGCUUAGAGGAAGGAGAAGUCGUAACA